UAACUGGUUAUCAAUACAAUGGAACGUAUCAUGAAAUCGGUAAAGGAAAUCCACAAUGGCCACAAUGAAGGAAGUAAUUGAAGUCAAACCAGGAGAUGCUUUAGUAAGUCUGAUAUAAAUAUUUACCAACUGUAAUGUCAGCUUUUCUUUUUCUGAAUUAUUAUUAAAGCUCUUAUGGUGUUUUUUGUCUAAAUUUGAAAUGUGACUUAUGUUCCAGGCUGUUAGAUGCACUUAUAACUCAAGCUCGAUGCAUCAUCCUGUUGGUGUUGGGUCAACAGGCAUUGAUGAGAUGUGCAAUUAUUACAUCAUGUUCUACACAGUUCUGUGGCUGACCCAUCAGGAGAAUGUGCUUUCAAUGAACUUACACAGCUGACUGGAAAAAACUUUCCCAUAGAUGUCAGCGUUACUCUUCCACCCAAUCCAGCCCUUGAAGAAGCAGCUAUAGGAUCCCAUAAUCAUGCUGGCAUGAAUCAUCCAGGUGAAGCCAAUGUUGACUUUGAAGACACACAGAUAUUAAAGAUAUUGAUGCUGGGAGCAAGCCCUAGAAAGCCGGAUUCUUAUUUAUGCACAGCUUACCAUGCACAGGAUUUGGAAUCAUAUAUUUAUAAGUUUGAAGCUGUAGCUGACGCCAACAGAGCUCAUCACAUGCUGUUGUAUGGAUGUGAAGGUGAAGCCUAUUCUCAGUAGCCAGUUUGGAACUGUCCUGCAAUGUGCAAGAAUAGUCAUCCUGUGAUUUUAUUUGCUCGGGCUAAAAAUGCUCCUUCAACUAUCUUGC